UACGUAGGGUGCGAGCGUUUGUCCGGAAUUAUUUGGGCGUAAAGGGCUCGUAGGCGGUCUGUUGCGUCGGGAGUGAAAACUCAGGGCUUAACCCUGAGCCUGCUUCCGAUACGGGCAGACUAGAGGUAUGCAGGGGAGAACGGAAUUCCUGGUGUAGCGGUGAAAUGCGCAGAUAUCAGGAGGAACACCGGUGGCGAAGGCGGUUCUCUGGGACGGUACUGACGCUGAGACGCGAAAGCGUGGGGAGCAAACAGG
rnacentral:rRNA from 1 species